GACGAACGCUGGCGGCGCGCUUAACACAUGCAAGUCGAACGAGAAGCUGUAGCAAUACAGUUGUAAAGUGGCAAACGGGUGAGUAAUGCGUGGGUAAUCUACCCUAGGGUGGGGAAUAACUUCCCGAAAGGGGAGCUAAUGCCGACAUGUGCACCACUCUCGCAAGGGAGUGUUGGAAAGCCGUACCGAGGGUGCGGCGCCCAAGGAUGAGCUCACGUCCUAUCAG
rnacentral:rRNA from 1 species